GACGAACGCUGGCGGCGUGCUUAACACAUGCAAGUCGAACGGAAAGGCCCUGCUUUUGUGGGGUGCUCGAUUGGCGAACGGGUGAGUAACACGUGAGUAACCUGCCCUUGUCUUUGUGAUAUCUUCUGGUAACUGGGGCUAAUACCCGAUAGGAUCUCCUGCUGCAUGGUGUGGGUUGGAAAUUUUCGGCUGUUGGGGAUGUUCUGGCGGCUUCUCCGCUUUUUGUUGGGGUAGUGGCUUACCAAGGCUUUGACGGGUAGCCGGCCUGAGAGGGUUACCGGCGACAUUGGGACUGAGAUACGGCCCAGACGGGAACGGGAGGCAGCAGUGGGGAAUAUUGCACAAGGAGCGGAAGCGAGAUGCAGAAACGCCGCGAGCGGGAUGACGGGCUUCGGGGUAUAAACAGAUUUAGCAGGAGACGAAGCGUGAGUGACGGUAAUGGGUAAAGAAGCACCGGCUAACUACGUG
rnacentral:rRNA from 1 species